UGAGGAAUAUUGCACAAUGGGCGAAAGCCUGAUGCAGCAACGCCGCGUGAGUGAUGAAGACCUUCGGGUUGUAAAGCUCUGUCUUCUGGGACGAUAAUGACGGUACCAGAGGAGGAAGCCACGGCUAACUACGUGCCAGCAGCCGCGGUAAUACGUAGGUGGCAAGCGUUGUCCGGAUUUACUGGGCGUAAAGGAUGCGUAGGCGGAUACUUAAGUCAGAUGUGAAAAUCCCGGGCUUAACUUGGGAACUGCAUUUGAAACUGGGUAUCUAGAGUGCGGGAGAGGAAAGUGGAAUUCCUAGUGUAGCGGUGAAAUGCGUAGAGAUUAGGAAGAACACCAGUGGCGAAGGCGACUUUCUGGACCGUAACUGACGCUGAGGCAUGAAAGCGUGGGGAGCAAACA
rnacentral:rRNA from 1 species